UACAGAGGGUGCAAGCGUUAAUCGGAAUUACUGGGCGUAAAGGGUGCGUAGGUGGUUUAGUAAGUUAGGUGUGAAAGUCCUGGGCUUAACCUGGGGAUUGCGCCUAAUACUGCUAGGCUAGAGUACUGUAGAGGAAGGUGGAAUUUCCGGUGUAGCGGUGAAAUGCGUAGAUAUCGGAAGGAACAUCAGUGGCGAAGGCGACUUUCUGGACAGAUACUGACACUGAGGCACGAAAGCGUGGGGAGCAAACAGG
rnacentral:rRNA from 1 species